ensembl:snRNA U6 U6 spliceosomal RNA
AUACUCACUUCAGCAGCACAUAUACUAAAAUUGAAAGGAUACAAAGAAGAUUAGCAUGACCCCUGCUCAAGGAUGACAUGCAAAUUUGUGAAAUAUUCCAUAUUUUA